GAAAGAAACUUUUCUACUUUUAAUAUCGUAGAACGGGAGGAAGAAUGGAAUAAAUUAUUUGAGGUAUCGAAGAGAAGACGCGCGAAGCUCCUUGCAAAAUAUAAUCGAGUAAACGAACUGGAUACAUCGAUCUACGAUCGUCGGCCGUUUGGAUACUGGUUGGAUGCUGCCGUGGCCAAACGCGCCCGAGACGAAGCGCACAGACUGUCUUACGAGCUAUUGUUUCUUUUGGAUAUAGAGAAAGAGUGUGUGUGUGUGUGUGUGUGUAAGUAGAGAGAGAGAGGGGAUGGAUGGGUGAGGAGAGUUAGGAGAAAAGAUACAAUUUUCAAAAGUUUUUCAACUUUGUCGUACCUACGAUAUAUACCGCGAGCGAUUCGAAAUAAAUCAUAUUUGGGAAUGCACGAGAAAAUACAAAGGAAUACCCGAGUCACUCUUAACAAUUGUAGAAUAAAUGGGUAUCUUGGGAGGAAUAAAAAGCGAGAAUUUUUUCGUCGAUGCAAACGUUCUCUCCCUUUUCUAGCACCCCUCCCCCCCUCUCUCUCUCUAAAGACGAAUCAACAGAAAAAAAAUAAUAACUAAAGAGAAACAAAAGAUAGGACACAGAGGGGAUGCUUUUCUGCCUACCUUUAGCCAGCAUCCUUUGCGUUGAACUCGUGGACGUUAAAAGUAGUGAAAGUUUGAAAAAUGAGGCGUAGAUUCACCGACGUUAGUCCACGCUCGGAAAGAGACGAUCGUUCAUUUACGCAUCUUUUUUUCCGAACAUAACGAAAUAUUAUAAUGAUGUCCAAAAAGAAGCACGUUUCGCGGAAAUACUUUGGAAGAUUUUGAUUGAAGUAUCUAUUUCCCGUUUUUUCAUCAAAGAAUUCAAAAUGAGCCAGCUCGAAUAAGACUACCCUCGUUAAAUUCAACGACUGUAGAAAGAGAAAGAGAGAGAGAGAGAGAGAGAGAGAGAGAGAGAGGGUGGGGGAGAGAGAAACGAGUCUAAAAGCAAUAAAACGCGAUCUCGCUCGAGAUAUUUCUUUCGGGUUCCGUUUCAUUGAAAUGUCAAUGGUACGCGAUCAAACGAUAAGAACUUACGAAUAUCGGUAAUGAACAACAACAGCAACACUAGCAACAUCAACGCGAAACAGAAACAACAUCAAGAACGUCAUCGGUAACAACAAACUUUACCGAGCAAGUUGUCUCUCGUCGUCCAGAGUUAUGCACGUACACGUUCGCUCUCACGAUAUGCUGAACGAUUCGACGUAUGUAAAUAUAUACAUACUUAAUACUAUAUUCGGCACUCUACUGUCUACUAGGUCUAUCACGAGCAAUGCUUGGUGUUAUAUAUGCAUAAACAGUGCAGGCACAUUCCAAGGGAGAGUGAGAUAAACAGAGGUAUAACAGAGAGAGAGAGAGAGAGAGAGAGAGAGAUACACGCGCGCGCACACGCACAUAGAGUGUAUAUAUAUAUAUGUAUAGAGAGAGAGAGAGAGAGAGAGAGAGAGAGAGAGAGAGACAAGCUGUGACACAAACGCAACGAUAACUUGGAUUCGUAUGGUAAUGAUUAUUUGAUCGAACGAGAAGGUCGAAUUCGAAGCGUCUCGAGGACGAAGAAGAAAAGAAAAGAAAAGGAUAAAGGGAAGUGAUACCGAAGAAUUUAUUUCGUAGAUCUCCCGUUAGAAAGGAUUAUCGAAAAAUUCGAUGCUUCGUUCGCGCUCUAUCGGAACAUGGACAGAAAAGUUUGCAACAAGAAGAUAAGAGAAGAAGCACAAAAAAAAGUCAAUGGAAAAAAGCCUCCGUGCUCGUUUUUCAUAAGGACGGAUUGAUUUUUGGUUAAACUUCGCUAGAACGAACUUAGGCGCGCACGGCUAGAAGGAAAUGAGUAAUAAUAAGGUAAGAGUAAUUAAGUAGGAUUCGGAAAAAGGGAAAAUCGUGCUAGGUUGCGUUCUGUACCUUCGUCUCGCCGCCGCCCUCGGUGUAAGGACGAGCGGAGCAGCCGCGGGGGAUGGUGUAACAGCGGCCGCGGCGACCGCAGCAGCCGCGGCUGCCGAUGGCGCUGCCGCACCCAGCCAGCUCCACGGCAUCGCCGGCAACCUGUAUCCUGCGUUUGUUCCACGUUUAUUCUUUUAUUAGUCUCCUUAAAUCUCCAUCACUUUUUCUUUUCCUUCCCUUUCCUAGUCGAUCGUCGAUCUCCCUUCGGCCACGACCGUUUGGAAGAGAUUCAUUCGAUCGAUACGCGCGAAUACGACGCGUGUCACGGUGUUGGUUAGUCGUCGGUAAAUACUCGAGAUUCGCUUUUCUUUUUUCCCUACCAUCGAUUUCACCUAUUACGAUAUUUCGCUUCCUCGCCAAUAAUCCUCGAUCCUUAAUCCGGGUCGACCUAGAUUUUUCCCCCUACUUGUCUCGUGUGACGUGCACCUCUCCCUGUCGAACCGAGUACCUUCGUUCGAGUACGAUAGGCUCGCGAUUAUUCGCAAAUAAUACGCUCGCGCUUAUAGGGGAACUUGGAAAAAGAGAGUCAACGAGAUAGUCGAAAUUGGGUCUCUUUCGUAAGAUAAAAAGAAAAAAAAAAUAUUCAUAUCCUCGAAAGGUCUCUACGUAACCGAUUGAUCUUCCAACGAAUCUUUCAAUGUCGCAGGAUCUGAAAAAGUUUCUUUCUCAAUACUUCUGAUAUUUGAUUGAUACCGGAUACGCUGGCAGUGCUUCUAUGGCACUCAUCAUUUUUAUUCUACGUAUUUCCUCGCUUCCGUAAGCUUUUCCUUUUCUCGUUCAUCCCUCGCGACGACUAAAAAUAAAGAUCUUUUCCUUUUUCCGAUUCGCUUCUGUUCGUGGAUAAGCGCCGCCCUCGAGGUGAUUCGAAUUUCGCGUGCUCCACGUAAUUAAGACCGAAACACUGGCCGCGAUAUGAUCCCAUCCGUUCGAGCCCGAUAAACGUGUCGUGCUUUACGAGGUGCCGUCUUUUUCGCCUAAUUUCCGCCACUCCGAGAACUCGCGAUACGACUGGAACGUGUAUUUCAAAACCUCUUUAAAAAGUUUAUGUACCUACAUCGUCCGGAUAUACAUACAUAUCGGCCGAUCUUUCUCUUAUUUUAUUAACGAUCUAUGAUUAAGCCUCGCUAACGAUCGUCCGUUUAACGAUCGUAUCUAACUCCCUCAGAGCAGGCCCAAGAAAUACAACCUGUUUGUGUUCCAACGUCCAAAUUUAUGGACGGAGUAGAUGAGUAGAGAACGUAGACGACGAAUCAUCAUCGAUAAAGACGAGAGGAAAUGAUCGCGAGAGAGAAAAGAGGGUUGCCUCGAGUAAUUAUUAUGAUCGAAUCCAGAGUGCCUAGAGGCUUCGAGACUACGACGGAAGCUACACGCCGAGAAACGGAGAGAAAGAGAAUAGAAGGGUGAGGGACGGUAGGAGAUGAGAGAGGAGCCUGUACGAAGGGGUCCAUGCCAAAGAGAGAGAGAGAGAGAGAGAGAGAGAGAGAGAGAGAGAGAGGUGUGCUCGCUGCCAGGGUUGCUCCGAGCGAUCAAUAAAUGCCGCUGCCAGCAUCCACCCCUGCCUGCAACCACCUCGUUGCUCUCCUCCCCUGUCCGUUCAUCUUUGUCCUUUCUUCGCAGCCUUCCUUCCAUUUCUCUUUCACUCUUUUUCCUAUAUGCGUUUACCCAAACGCACUCUUCUUUCGUCUACAUCCUUCCACUACAAGAGUGAAUAUGUGCGUUCGCGAUCAAGCGCGAAGAGAGAAAAUACUUAAAGCGGACAUAUGUUAUGUACAUUUAUCAAUUAUGAAUAGUAAUUGAUCUCUAUGCGAUGCCAAUUCUUCGAAGCUACUAUGCCAAAAAAUAUAGCCGGAUAAUAAUUGAAAGACGAACGCGUCGUGUGACGUACACCUAUCAGGUUUACAAAAGCAAAGAUAGAGAGAAGAAAUUUAACGUAAUUCUCGAUGAAUUUAUGCACCAUCAUAAGGCAGAUCCUCGAAAGUGGAUCGUAGUUGAAAGAAAGUAUAAGAGAAGAUCGUUACCGGGAGCGCGAAGAACGUUAAUCAGAGAAAAAAGAAGAAGAAAAAGAAGAAGAAGAAGCGAGGUCGAACACGUGCGAGACGCUGACUCGUCCAAAAAUAAGACUUCCACCUUGGUACGUAACAGCGCAAGGGGAGAUAUGUUUUUGAAAUCGACAAUUUUUUUACAAUACAGGAUAUAUUUCUUUUCGGCUCUGACGUAAUAUUAAUAAGAAUCUAAAGACGCGAUCGUCGAAGAAACUAAAAGAUAUUCGAGUUGAAAAAAUAAAGGGAACGAAAUGAAAAUGAAACUUUCGUCGAUUAUAACGAGCACUUUUCUAAGCGCUUUUUUCAUUCGACGCGAGAUAAUCUUUUCCUUUAACACGUGAAAAAACUACAUCAGUCCCUACACGAAGUCCAUCGAUCGGCGUCCCAUUUUCCACUUUGAACGAGCUAAAACGGCUAGCUGUUGUAUUAAUUAAUAGCUCAUCGCGAGCGAAAUCGCGCGACAAUAUAUACAUUUUAUCGAGCAUGUAGCAAUUUUCGUCGGAUAAAAAAAUAAUUCUCGAGUAUCUUAGUUUAUGACUAACGCACCGUGUCACGCGAUUAAUGGAUAACAAUUAAAAACGGUUCUCAGAUAAAAAGUAAAGAUCGAUGGUAAGUAUUAAAAAAGAUCGUGCCGCCAUGGCAGCCCGCAUAGGAAGAGCUAUAACAAGAUGAUAAGAUGAACGGAAAAAGAGAAGAAAAAAGAAAAGGUAGAGAUAGAUAGAUAGAUAGAUAGAUAGAGAGUGAGAGAGAGAGAGAGAGAGAGAGAGAGAGAGAGAGAGAUAAGAGAAAAACAUACAUUUUCAAGAAAAAUUAAGCGAUCUCUUAAAAGGAGGCCAGCAUGCUUCUCGUUCUCUUUUAUCGUGCCGAUGAAAGAGAAUCGUUACUCCCAUUAAACCUAAUAGCAAUUAGCCGAUAUACGAUACAUACAUAUGUACGCAUCGGACCAAUGGAACGAAGAAAAAAAAACAAAAUAA